rnacentral:rRNA from 1 species
AGCUAGUUGGUGAGGUAACGGCUCACCAAGGCAACGAUGCGUAGCCGACCUGAGAGGGUGAUCGGCCACACUGGGACUGAAACACGGCCCAGACUCCUACGGGAGGCAGCAGUAGGGAAUCUUCCGCAAUGGACGAAAGUCUGACGGAGCAACGCCGCGUGAACGAUGAAGGUCUUCGGAUCGUAAAGUUCUGUUGUUAGGGAAGAACAAGUGCCGUGCGAAUAGAGCGGCACCUUGACGGUACCUAACGAGGAAGCCCCGGCUAACUACGUGCCAGCAGCCGCGGUAAUACGUAGGGGGCAAGCGUUGUCCGGAAUUAUUGGGCGUAAAGCGCGCGCAGGCGGUUCCUUAAGUCUGAUGUGAAAGCCCACGGCUCAACCGUGGAGGGUCAUUGGAAACUGGGGAACUUGAGGACAGAAGAGGAGAGUGGAAUUCCACGUGUAGCGGUGAAAUGCGUAGAUAUGUGGAGGAACACCAGUGGCGAAGGCGACUCUCUGGUCUGUUUCUGACGCUGAGGUGCGAAAGCGUGGGUAGCAAACAGGAUUAGAUACCCUGGUAGUCCACGCCGUACACGAUGAGUGCUAGGUGUUAGGGGGCUUCCACCCCUUAGUGCUGAAGUUCACGCAUUAAGCACUCCGCCUGGGCG